CUCACGUUUUUUCACCUUCCAUGGAAGCUUGCUUUGAAACCUCCAUAAAUUUUCUCAAGUUAACCCUAAUUUUCAUGCUUUUGUGCACCUUUUCACAAAGUCCUUUGUGCUCUAUUACUCUUUCGCCUUGAAAACCCUCAAAAGUCUUAUUUUGAUACUUUCUCUCACUAGCUAGGUGUUUUAGAGAGAGAGAAAGAGACUUCUUAUACUAGCUUGAGGACUUUUGAGAAGGAGUUCAAUUACAAAGCUACCAAAGUUCCAACAAGACUCAUCCCCAUUCAGACCAUUAGUGGAAGUUGGAGUCGAUUUAAGAAUCAACAAGGAUAGAUUAGGAGGCAGUUGGAACCUAGGUCAAGGUGUCCCCGUGAUUCAUCUCCUUGGUAGGUAUCUCGACAUUCAAUAGCUGUACCUUCGUUAGGGUCACUUCGUUGGAAGUCGAGUGUCUUUUGGUUGUGUAUAGAUAAAUGCAAUGUAAAUGACCAAGAUAAAU